GACGAACGCUGGCGGCGUGCCUAAUACAUGCAAGUCGAACGCAGUGGGGACGGGGGAGUAACACGUGGGUAACCUCCCAUCAGAGGGGAUAACACUUGGAAACAGGUGCUAAACCGAUACUGAUGGAUGGACCCGCGGUGCAUUAGCUAGUUGGUGAGGGAACGGGUAAAAAAGGCCACGGUGCAUAGGAGACCUGAGUGUGUGUACGGCCACACUGGGACGGAGAAACAGCCCAUACUCCAACGUGAGGCAGCAGUAGGGAAUCUACGGCAAUGGACGAAAGUCUGACCGAGCAACGCCGCGUGAGUGAAGAAGGUUUUCGGAUCGUAAAACUCUGUUUUUAGAGUAGCGGUAUCUAACCAGAAAGCCACGGCUAACUACGAGCCAGCAGACGCGGUAAUAC
rnacentral:rRNA from 1 species